CACGAACGCUGGCGGCGUGCUUAACACAUGCAAGUCGAACGGUGAUCUUGGGAGCUUGCUCCUGGGUGAUCAGUGGCGAACGGGUGAGUAACACGUGAGUAACCUGCCCCUGACUCUGGAAUAACUUCGGGAAACCGAAGCUAAUACCGGAUAUGACACAGAGCCGCAUGGUUUCUGUGUGGAAAGUUUUUUCGGUUGGGGAUGGACUCGCGGCCUAUCAGCUUGUUGGUGAGGUAAUGGCUCACCAAGGCGACGACGGGUAGCCGGCCUGGGAGGGCGACCGGCCCCACUGGGACUGGGACACGGCCCAGACUCCUACGGGAGGCAGCAGUGGGGAAUAUUGCACAAUGGGCGAAAGCCUGAUGCAGCGAGGCCGCGUGAGGGAUGAAGGCCUUCGGGUUGUAAACCUCUUUCAGUAGGGAAGAAGCGCAAGUGACGGUACCUACAGAAGAAGCACCGGCUAACUACGUGCCAGCCGCCGCCGUAACAC
rnacentral:rRNA from 1 species